rnacentral:rRNA from 1 species
GAUGAACGCUGGCGGCGUGCCUAAUACAUGCAAGUCGAGCGAACAGACGAGGAGCUUGCUCCUCUGACGUUAGCGGCGGACGGGUGAGUAACACGUGGAUAACCUACCUAUAAGACUGGGAUAACUUCGGGAAACCGGAGCUAAUACCGGAUAACAUGUUGAACCGCAUGGUUCAACAGUGAAAGACGGUCUUGCUGUCACUUAUAGAUGGAUCCGCGCCGCAUUAGCUAGUUGGUAAGGUAACGGCUUACCAAGGCAACGAUGCGUAGCCGACCUGAGAGGGUGAUCGGCCACACUGGAACUGAGACACGGUCCAGACUCCUACGGGAGGCAGCAGUAGGGAAUCUUCCACAAUGGGCGAAAUCCUGACGGAGCAACGCCGCGUGAGUGAAGAAGGUCUUCGGAUCGUAAAACUCUGUUAUUAGGGAAGAACAAAUGUGUAAGUAACUAUGCACGUCUUGACGGUACCUAAUCAGAAAGCCACGGCUAACUACGUG